CGAAACCAGGUGAUCUACCCAUGUCCAGGAUGAAGGUAAGGUAAUACUUACUGGAGGUCCGAACCCACGCACGUUGAAAAGUGCGGGGAUGAGGUGUGGGUAGCGGAGAAAUUCCAAUCGAACUUGGAGAUAGCUGGUUCUCUCCGAAAUAGCUUUAGGGCUAGCCUCGAGGUAAAGAGUCAUGGAGGUAGAGCACUGUUUGGACUAGGGGCCCUUCUCGGGUUACCGAAUUCAGAUAAACUCCGAAUGCCAUGUACUUAUACUCGGGAGUCAGACUGCGAGUGAUAAGAUCCGUAGUCGAAAGGGAAACAGCCCAGACCACCAGUUAAGGUCCCCAAAUAUAUGUUAAGUGGAAAAGGAUGUGGGGUUGCUUAGACAACCAGGAUGUUGGCUUAGAAGCAGCCACCAUUGAAAGAGUGCGUAAUAGCUCACUGGUCGAGUGACCCCGCGCCGAAAAUGUACCGGGGCUAAACAUAUUACCGAAACUGUGGAUGAACCUCUUCGGAGGUUCGUGGUAGGAGAGCGUUCUAAGGGCGGUGAAGUCAGACCGGAAGGACUGGUGGAGCGCUUAGAAGUGAGAAUGCCGGUAUGAGUAGCGAAAGAAGGGUGAGAAUCCCUUCCACCGAAUAUCUAAGGUUUCCUGAGGAAGGCUCGUCCGCUCAGGGUUAGUCGGGACCUAAGCCGAGGCCGAUAGGCGUAGGCGAUGGACAACAGGUAGAGAUUCCUGUACCAGUGCUAAUUGUUUAACCGAUGGGGUGACACAGAAGGAUAGGGAAUCGCACGAAUGGAAAUGUGCGUCCAA
rnacentral:rRNA from 1 species